ensembl:lncRNA
UAUCUCUCCCUAACUAAAGGUCUCUAUGUCUCUCCCUAACUAAAGGUCUUUAUGUCUCUCCCUAACUAAAAGGUCAUUCUGGACAACUUACACUUCAAAAACAAAUCUCACACAGGCUAAUGGUUGUGCCACUAUUGUGUCUGUAUGAGUGUGUAUAUAAGUGUCUGCAUGUGUGUGUGUCUGUAUGUCUGUGUAUAUAUGUGUCUGCAUAUGUGUGUGUCUGUAUGUCUGUGUAUAUAAGUGUCUGCAUAUGUGUGUGUCUGUAUGUCUGUGUAUAUAUGUGUCUGCAUAUGUGUGUGUCUGUAUGUCUGUGUAUAUAAGUGUCUGCAUAUGUGUGUGUCUGUAUGUCUGUGUAUAUAAGUGUCUGCAUGUGUGUGUGUCUGUAUGUCUGUGUAUAUAAGUGUCUGCAUAUGUGUGUGUCUGUAUGUCUGUGUAUAUAAGUGUCUGCAUGUGUGUGUGUCUGUAUGUCUGUGUAUAUAAGUGUCUGCAUGUGUGUGUCUGUAUGUCUGUGUAUAUAAGUGUCUGCAUAUGUGUGUGUCUGUAUGAGUGUGUAUAUAUGUGUCUGCAUGUGUGUGUACACUUUGCUUAAAUACAGGAUGAUAGGAUGAUUAUUUACACAUGUGUGUGCAUCUGUGUGUGUGUGUGUGUGUGUGUGUGUGU